rnacentral:rRNA from 1 species
CUACGGGAGGCAGCAGUGGGGAAUAUUGCGCAAUGGGGGGAACCCUGACGCAGCCAUGCCGCGUGAAUGAAGAAGGCCUUCGGGUUGUAAAGUUCUUUCGGUAAUGAGGAAGGGAUGUUGUUAAAUAGAUAGCAUCAUUGACGUUAAUUACAGAAGAAGCACCGGCUAACUCCGUGCCAGCAGCCGCGGUAAUACGGAGGGUGCGAGCGUUAAUCGGAAUAACUGGGCGUAAAGGGCACGCAGGCGGACUUUUAAGUGAGAUGUGAAAUCCCCGAGCUUAACUUGGGAACUGCAUUUCAGACUGGGAGUCUAGAGUACUUUAGGGAGGGGUAGAAUUCCACGUGUAGCGGUGAAAUGCGUAGAGAUGUGGAGGAAUACCGAAGGCGAAGGCAGCCCCUUGGGAAUGUACUGACGCUCAUGUGCGAAAGCGUGGGGAGCAAACAGGAUUAGAUACCCUGGUAGUCC